AACGAACGCUGGCGGCAGGCUUAACACAUGCAAGUCGAACGCGCCCUUCGGGGCGAGUGGCAGACGGGUGAGUAACGCGUGGGAACCUACCUUUUGGUACGGAAUAACUCAGGGAAACUUGAGCUAAUACCGUAUGUGCCCUUCGGGGGAAAGAUUUAUCGCCAAAGGAUGGGCCCGCGUCGGAUUAGCUAGUUGGUGGGGUAAUGGCCUACCAAGGCGACGAUCCGUAGCUGGUCUGAGAGGAUGAUCAGCCACACUGGGACUGAGCACACGGCCCAGACUCCUACGGGAGGCAGCAGUGGGGAAUAUUGGACAAUGGGGGCAACCCUGAUCCAGCCAUGCCGCGUGAGUGAUGAAGGCCUUAGGGUUGUAAAGCUCUUUCGCCGGUGAAGAUAAUGACGGUAACCGGAGAAGAAGCCCCGGCUAACUUCGUGCCAGCCGCCGCAGUAAAAC
rnacentral:rRNA from 1 species